rnacentral:misc_RNA from 1 species
GCCACCACGUCACCAUCUUGAUCUUCAUUCUGUUUCUUUCUCUGAUGAUGAUUCUGGGAUGUUUUAGGAACUGGGUCAUCGGGGGCUUCCCGUUUCCUAGAAGAAUUGGAAGGUUGUUGAUGAUUGGAAGAGGUGGGAUUACUUGCUCCUACAAGGCUGGUGGAAUCUGCAUUGAAGGUGGUGCUGCUGAGAUUAGUAUUAGUGUUAAUUGGAUCUUGGCAAAUUUCUUCAGUUUGAUUCCACCAUUGAUAGCUAUUUAUAUCAGGGGAGUUGUAAGGAUCAUCCAAGAAGGCAGGCAGGAAUGAUACUGAAUCUUCUAACCAAUCCAAUACAUGAUCUGAGAUGAGGUUUGGUUCUGGUUCUUCAAGAGUCAUUUUGUGCCUGAAAAUGUGUUUUGAGCGUGAGAGAGAAAACUGAGAGAAAUACGAGUAUGAUUUAUGCUUGUUCUUUGACCAAAAACAUAAAGGAUGGAACCACUAGACUUGUGUGC